rnacentral:rRNA from 1 species
AUUGAACGCUGGCGGCAGGCCUAACACAUGCAAGUCGAGCGGAUGAAGGGAGCUUGCUCCUGGAUUCAGCGGCGGACGGGUGAGUAAUGCCUAGGAAUCUGCCUGGUAGUGGGGGAUAACGUCCGGAAACGGGCGCUAAUACCGCAUACGUCCUGAGGGAGAAAGUGGGGGAUCUUCGGACCUCACGCUAUCAGAUGAGCCUAGGUCGGAUUAGCUAGUUGGUGGGGUAAAGGCCUACCAAGGCGACGAUCCGUAACUGGUCUGAGAGGAUGAUCAGUCACACUGGAACUGAGACACGGUCCAGACUCCUACGGGAGGCAGCAGUGGGGAAUAUUGGACAAUGGGCGAAAGCCUGAGCCAGCCAUGCCGCGUGUGUGAAGAAGGUCUUCGGAUUGUAAAGCAAUUUAAGUUGGGAGGAAGGGCAGUAAGUUAAUACCUGGCUGUUUUGACGUUACCAACAGAAUAAGCACCGGCUAACUUCGU